rnacentral:lncRNA from 1 species
UAGCCUUAGCAUUUAAUGUCUUCAAGAACAAGAGAAUCCUAAUGGAAAAGCUUCAUAGCUCGAGACUGAAAGGAUCUUUCGAUGGAAGUUAAUGAAUCGAAGUAGUCAAGAAUUAUGGACUUAGAGCAUUUUUAUCAUUUAAGGGUAAUUCGACUUCGACGGUUACAACGGUUUACAGGCCUUGGUUCAUUUCAAAUGCAAAGGACGCGUGGCUGAAGUUUAGCAGUUUAACGUUAGG